GAGGUCAGAGGUCUAUCAUGAAAACUUGAGAACGAACAAAAGUUUGAGCAAUCACAACAUAAGCAUUCAAAGGGAAGAGAUAAAUGUCAUCAUAAUACCUUAAAAGCUUUCUGUUUAAAUACUGUUUUAUCACUGUUGAUUUGAUACAUGAAUUUCUGGUUUUUUUUGUUUUGUAGAGAUCUGAUGGGUAACCUUAGAAAGAAAAUAUCCGGUGAAGCAAGGCUACAUUUAUCCGAUACAUCCAAAGGUAUUUUCCAGGCACGGAUCCUACCAGUGUUUUGGAUACAUUUAAAUGGAAUAUUGAGACAGAUGACAAAAGGGAGAGUUCACUGGACUGUUCAAAUCUUGAAGUACAUGAACUUCUGAAUUCUUUUUGGAAAUCUCUGGAAAUACAGUAUGACAUAAUGAAAGAAAAGCUUGAAGACCAAAAUAGCAAGUUAGAAAACUUAAAUCAUGCUUUAAAGGUCUAUCAUGAUGCAGCAGAGAAUGCUGAUGCUGACCUUGACCUCUCCUCUACGGCUCAUAUGUUGAGAAGCAAAAUACAACACGAGAAGUUCAAACUCGGGGUGUUAAGCAAUAUUGCAAAUAAUUUUGGUGAUACAUCUACCACGCUCUUAAAAGAGCAUUUGAAAUUAGUUGAACAAAUAGCUUUCAUAAAAAAACACAUCUAAUGACUUUGGUAUUGAGCACAUGAUAGGAGUCAUUAUAAUAUAAUGUUGUACCUUGCUAGUUAUUUGAUAAUUAGGCAGGGUUUUAACACCUUGUCUUUUCUUAAGUUUCUACCAAGUGUUGAUGUGUAAUUGUUAGACAUAUAACUAUUAUUUUGAAAGUUUUAGCUGUUUGGUGGACCCUCAUUAAUGGUUUAUGUU